rnacentral:rRNA from 1 species
GACGAACGCUGGCGGCGUGCUUAACACAUGCAAGUCGAACGAAGAGCGAUGGAAGCUUGCUUCUAUCAAUCUUAGUGGCGAACGGGUGAGUAACGCGUAAUCAACCUGCCCUUCAGAGGGGGACAACAGUUCGAAACGACUGCUAAUACCGCAUACGAUCCAAUCUCGGCAUCGGGACUGGAUGAAAGGUGGCCUCUAUUUAUAAGCUAUCACUGAAGGAGGGGAUUGCGUCUGAUUAGCUAGUUGGAGGGGUAACGGCCCACCAAGGCGAUGAUCAGUAGCCGGUCUGAGAGGAUGAACGGCCACAUUGGGACUGAGACACGGCCCAGACUCCUACGGGAGGCAGCAGUGGGGAAUCUUCCGCAAUGGACGAAAGUCUGACGGAGCAACGCCGCGUGAGUGAUGACGGCCUUCGGGUUGUAAAGCUCUGUUAAUCGGGACGAAUGGUUCUUGUGCGAAUAGUGCGAGGAUUUGACGGUACCGGAAUAGAAAGCCACGGCUAACUACGUG